UGCAAACAGUUACUCUGAGCGCUGAAAUGCACUCGUUGGCGACAACGGCAAAAAAAAGGGUUUCUGCAGAAGUCUGAGAUACUGAUUUACUAUGAGAACUAUGCAUUCAAGUGAGAGACAGAGAAUGUCCAGCAAACAAGCAGGGCCAAAUCGAGGGGGGAAAAAACCUUAUGGAAUCCGUUCACGUGACUUAAAAUAAUUGUUUGCAGAAUCUGGAUCAAAUCCUGGUUAUUAGCCACGUACAAUAAAGUUUCUGUGGAGAUGGUUUCAAUUGCAAGUCUUUUAAAGAACGCCGUAACAGAAUCUGAAAACAUUGUACCAGCCCUUAUUCCAUUGCCAUCAACCUGUUUUGAUUGAUCAUAGACAAUGCUACAAACAAUAAAACGUACUUGACUAGAUAUUUAAUUAAGUACUGUGCUUUUACUAACGAGCUUUUAUUGUAAAUAUUGCGAACAGUAUUUAAUUAUGAGUACAAACAAUACACAUUCUCUAGAUAUACAACCAUCAGGUAAGAACAUCAAAUGUAUCUCUUAAAUAAAACCAAGAUCAUUGAAUGGAACAAAUGUAUCUUUUUAUGAGAGUGAACUGCUUCCAAAUGUGUUCAGUGGUUAUACUAGUAACGUAUUAAAUAGGGAUUUGGGCAAUAAAGAGGCCCGGAAAUUUGUCCUAAAACA